CAAUAGCGUGUAUUUAAGUUGUUGCAGUUAAAAAGCUCGUAGUUGGAUUUCGGGUGGGACGCAGCGGUCUCGCAUUGCGUUUGUACUGCUGCAGCCCUCCUUCUUGCCGGGGGCGGCCUCUCGGACUUCACUGUCUGGGGGUCAGAAUCGGCGAUGUUACUUUGAGUAAAUUAGAGUGUUCAAAGCAAGCUUACGCUCUGAAUAUAAUAGCAUGGGAUAACACGACAGGACUCUGGCCUAUCGUGUUGGUCUAUAGGACCAGAGUAAUGAUUAAGAGGGACAGUCGGGGGCAUUCGUAUUCCGUUGUCAGAGGUGAAAUUCUUGGAUUUACGGAAGACGAACAUCUGCGAAAGCAUUUGCCAAGGAUGUUUUCAUUGA
rnacentral:rRNA from 1 species